CCAAGAAGACAAGACCUCUCUUUCAUGUGGCCCUGACUCUCCUCCCUCCUCCCAAGAUGCUUCCCCAGCCAGAGAGUUUUUAUAGAUCUUUAAGUCACCAACUCUGAACAAGGCAGGAGUGUUGCUAUCUGCUCUCACUGCACUGCAUGGCACUUGACAACACAGUUUUGUCCUUUUAAGGUUUUUCUGCUGCCCUCAGAGCUUCAGUCACUUCCUUCUGCGGUUGGCACAUCUGUGCCUUCAAGGAUGGCUCUUUUCUGUGCAGUGUGGCUUCACUGAGCAGAAGGAAGAGAUGGCUGGCUACUGCAAGCAGAAAGAGAAAUGAGCUCCCUUAUAUGCAAGAAUAAUGAGGAAUGUCUCACCUACAGGAAGAGAGUUCCUGUCAGUUAAAAGGAAGAAAAGUACCAGGAGGCAUUGUCAACUCUUUCCUAAAUAAAUACAUUA